CGUUGUCUCAGACAACUGCCAAUGUUUCCAGUGUCAGGAUGAUACGAGUGACCUGAGAGAAACGCCUUCGGGUGGUCACCCCUUCAAUGCUGUACAGUUCCAGUAUCUGGUGUGUGUGAUUGUAGUGAACUGUAUGGCCCUUUCUUCAGAGCCAGGGAAAAAAUGCCAUCGUAGUCUGAAAGAUGGCGCUAUUACCGUAGCGGUACCUC
rnacentral:sRNA from 14 species